GUGAAGUCGCUCAGUCGUGUCCGACUCCUAGCGACCCCAUGGACUGCAGCCUAACCAGGCUCCUCCAUCCAUGGGAUUUUCCAGGCAAGAGAACUGGAGUGGGGUGCCAUUGCCUUCUCUGUCCUACUAUACCCUAAUUGUUUACUAUAAUUAGAAAGGGUUUCCUUAAUCAAAGCCAGAAUGAAACCCAGGAGUGAGAUGUUGGUGGCAGCAGCUGGUGCCCUCUCUUCACCUUCCUACAGCUAUAAGGUGACGUCAAAAGGGAAGUGAGUGGUGGGUUUGAGAUGCGUGUUGUGCUUUUGUACUUCUUAACUAAAAAAAAAUCAUAUGCAUGUAGAACUAUUAAAAACCACACUUGAAAAAAUUAAUGUGACCUCAUUUUGUAGUCAUAAACAGGU
rnacentral:lncRNA from 1 species